ACCAACGCUGAAAAGCGUUGCUGAACGCACAGAAGUCAGCAGAGGUCAUAGUAAGCCGGAGUGCGAAGAGUACAAAGGAUGAAGGAC
rnacentral:ncRNA from 1 species